CUGGCCUAGGUCUCCCACUUCAUUCUCGGAGACACCACCACAGAAUCUUCAGGGGUUUCCAGACUUAAUUCUACUUUUUUUUUUUUUUCCUCUUUUACUGUGAGGUAAACAGGGUUAAGCGAGGUAAAGUUGUUGGUCCCGGGGAAAUCAUGUGCAAACUCAAGAACUUGAUUCUCUUCUGUCGUUCUGCCUCAAGGAGACACGUGUCACCUCUUCUGCUUUUCCUUGUCUACAUUCUUGUGACCAUUUCUGACCGUUGGCUUAAAUGGAAGACAAAAGCUACCUCUCUCAUGACCCAAAUACCGUAGCCUCUUGUGCUUUGGAACAUUUGACAGCAUUUCAUCACUAUGGAUGAGGGCCGUUUUAAACAGCAAAAUCCCUGACAAAAAAGUGCAAAAUUGAAAAAAAAAUACUAAAUAGCCAUAAAAAGGACACUUAUUUAGUUUGAGAACUGAAACAAGAGGACACAGCAUCUCUUUCUUUGACCUCAGCUGGGAAUGUGCCUCUUGGCACCUUCAAAUCAAUUUUUUUGCUGCUCUGCACAUGCCUGCAAAUGACAAUGAGGACACUGUGAGUAUUGUUUUGGGUAUUAUAAAUAAAGUGUAGUGAGUAAGUGCAUUUGCAAACUCAGAAUCCAUGAAUAAUGAGGAUGAACUCGGUCUAUUUGUCUAUCUAUCAUUUAUUUUCUUGGCAAAAUCUCAUCAGGAGAUCAAAAGACUCUUAUAAACAUGUAAAAUGAAGUUCAAAAA
rnacentral:lncRNA from 1 species